UACGUAGGGGGCGAGCGUUUGUCCGGAAUCAUUGGGCGUAAAGAGCGUGUAGGCGGCUUGGCAAGUCUGACGUGAAAGCCCGCGGCUCAACCGCGGAUUGUCGUUGGAAACUGCCUCGCUAGAGUCCGGAAGAGGAGAGCGGAAUUCCUGGUGUAGCGGUGGAAUGCGCAGAUAUCAGGAAGAACACCCGUGGCGAAGGCGGCUCUCUGGGACGGUACUGACGCUGAGGAGCGAAAGCAUGGGGAGCGAACAGG
rnacentral:rRNA from 1 species